rnacentral:rRNA from 1 species
UAAGUGAAGAGUUUGAUCCUGGCUCAGAGUGAACGCUGGCGGCAGGCCUAACACAUGCAAGUCGAACGGCAGCACAGAGGAGCUUGCUCCUUGGGUGGCGAGUGGCGGACGGGUGAGGAAUACAUCGGAAUCUGCCCAGUCGUGGGGGAUAACAUAGGGAAACUUAUGCUAAUACCGCAUACGACCUACGGGUGAAAGCGGGGGAUCGCAAGACCUCGCGCGAUUGGAUGAGCCGAUGUCCGAUUAGCUAGUUGGCGGGGUAAUGGCCCACCAAGGCGACGAUCGGUAGCUGGUCUGAGAGGAUGAUCAGCCACACUGGAACUGAGACACGGUCCAGACUCCUACGGGAGGCAGCAGUGGGGAAUAUUGGACAAUGGGCGCAAGCCUGAUCCAGCCAUGCCGCGUGUGUGAAGAAGGCCUUCGGGUUGUAAAGCACUUUUGUCCGGAAAGAAAAGCUUCGGGUUAAUACCCUGGGGUUCUGACGGUACCGGAAGAAUAAGCACCGGCUAACUUCGUGCCAGCAGCCGCGGUAAUACGAAGGGUGCAAGCGUUACUCGGAAUUACUGGGCGUAAAGCGUGCGUAGGUGGUUUGUUAAGUCUGAUGUGAAAGCCCUGGGCUCAACCUGGGAAUUGCAUUGGAUACUGGCAGGCUAGAGUGCGGUAGAGGAUGGCGGAAUUCCCGGUGUAGCAGUGAAAUGCGUAGAGAUCGGGAGGAACAUCUGUGGCGAAGGCGGCCAUCUGGACCAGCACUGACACUGAGGCACGAAAGCGUGGGGAGCAAACAGGAUUAGAUACCCUGGUAGUCCACGCCCUAAACGAUGCGAACUGGAUGUUGGGUGCAACUAGGCACUCAGUAUCGAAGCUAACGCGUUAAGUUCGCCGCCUGGGGAGUACGGUCGCAAGACUGAAACUCAAAGGAAUUGACGGGGGCCCGCACAAGCGGUGGAGUAUGUGGUUUAAUUCGAUGCAACGCGAA